CCUCGAGGAAAAAAAUCCAAUGUUCCUGAACUGGCAGGUCAUCAACUUCUGUUUGAAGGAGUACUCAGUGGAAUGGUUUUUUGAUCCCUGGAAGAUGCCUCCGCUACCAUGAAAACCACCUGCCAUUCUCCUUCUGACAGGAUCUUGGACAAAAAUGCAUACAAGGCCAGUGUAAAAACUCCUAAUUAGUGUAUCAUUAUAUCCAAAUUCAAUAGGAGCAAUCUACAUGUGACAAACAGUCAAUUGAUGCUGAGUUUAUUAACAGAGAUGCAGAACCUAGGUUGAGUUGUCUGUAGGAAAGGUGUCAGACAAGUAGUGCUGCAAAUAGUGAGGUAAAUCAGAAGAAAUGCACUCUUGCUGCAGAGAAGGAAAAGACCAUCCUGGGCUGCUUUAGGCAAAGUAUUGCCAGCAGCUGGAGGGAGGUGAUUCUUCUUUUUUUAGCACUGGCCAGUCCACACCUGGAGCACUGUUGCCAGUUCUGAGCUUCUCAGUUCAAGAGAGGCAUGGACAUGCUGGAUGAAGUCCAGAGAAAGGCCGCAAGGAUGAUUAAGGGACUGGAGCUUCAUGAGGAAAGGCUCCAUGAGCUGAGACUGUGCAGCCUGGAGAGAAGGCUCAGAGAUACCUUGUUAACGUGCAUAAAUACCUGGUGGGAGGGAAUGAAGAAGAAAGAGCCAGGCUCUUUUCAGUGAUCCCCAGGGAAAAGGCCAGAGAUUAUGGGUUUAAAAUGAAACACAGAAGGGCUCUUUCUGAACUAGAAAACGUUAUUACAUUUUUUUUGCCAUGAAGAAACAUUUUUUUAUGCUGUCAGGGACCAAGAUCUGACACAGGUUGCCCAGAGAGAUUGUAGAGCCUCCAUCAUUAAAGACAGUAAAAAUGCACCUGGACAUGGUCCCAGGCAAAUAGCUGGACUUAAGCAGGGGUCCUGCUGCAGUAGGGAGGUUUAGCAGGUGACCUCAGAGGUUGCUUCCAACCUCAAUCUUCCUGUAAUUCUAUGAUUCAGUGAAAGAUUUGGCAAACUGUGUGGAAACCUUUAGCUAAGUAGGCAUCCCAGUAAUGAAGUAGGACUCUAUUAUGCAAAACUGAAUUGUUCUGUCUAUGCUCUCUAAUCUCAUUUAUGAGAUGGAAUAGUUUUCUUUUUCCUCCUAGUCUACAACUUAAUAUCUUCAGUAACUCCAGAAAUACUUGCAUCAUAGGAAUAAAUGAAUGACUUGAAUAAAUAGGCCACACUGACCAAAUCUCCUUUAUGAACAUUUAUCCAGGCAACUGCUAUCUCCACAGAUUAUCAUAGUUUACCACAAAGUCAUUCUGGCAUAACACUGCAAGAACAUUUCAUCAGUGUGGGAUGUAAAAUGUUAUAGCUCACUCACUCAACCAUACUUUAUUGCAUCUCCACUCUGUGGUUUGCAGUAGUUUCAAUUUGUUUGAAUGGCCAAUUGAAAACUUUGGCUUCAUCUCCUAGGACAAUUUACAUUCAUUUCAAAUAGGAUAUUCUCUCCCAAAAUACAGUUAGAUUUUUUAAAACUUAUAUUUCUGUGGUAGCCUUGCCCAUUUUGAUAAAACAUGCUGGAGACAGUAAACAAAGGCUUUCUCAUCUUUUCAUCUUCCUCUUGCAUGUCAUUACCUGGUUAGGCAAUGUCCUUGCUGGGUUGAAAUAAAUAUAUGUCCAAUGUAUUUUAUUUGGGUUAUUAAAUCGGUUAGGGAGUGUGUCUUUUUUUCCGUUUACAUUUUUCUUUUGUUUGUUUGUUUGGCUGUGGUUUGUUUCUGUUUUUUUAACUCUGAGGAAGUAGGAGGAGGCACAGGAAAUUCCUACUGGAAAGCUGAAUAGGGGAGAUACUCCAAGGUAUUAAUCAAUGCAUCCCAUGUACUUCUGCAUAAAUUGUUUGUUGAUGUACCAAGAAUACCAUAUAGGCAUAUCUGAAAAAAAUGAAAUAAAUAUAACAGUGGGGAUGCAAAAAAUACAGGAAAAAUCUAAACAGGAUUUGAUUAAAAUUAAAAUUAUUCAAUCCAUAAUCAUCCAUCUUGUGAAGUUCUCCAAUUGUUUUACACACUAAAUAUAGCAUUUAGUGUGUGUAAUGGUAAUUUUUAUCUCAGCAUUGCAUUAAAGUGCUGUAUCUCCUCCAUCACUGCCUCCUUAUGCCAGUAAAUUAAGUUAUUCACAUAGUCAUGUGCCUUCUCUGAAAGACUAAGAACAUCCUUCAACUUGACUACAUAAUAUUAAUUAUAGUUAAGAUUUAUUCAUUGUGUUUUGUGUUGCCUUGUCCUUUUUUUUUAAUUUCUAAAAUACUUUAUCAAUAUCAAGCAUUAAUUCAGAGCACAAUAGAGAUAACAGAGGCUGAAGACUGACUAUUCAUAAUAGUGUCUGGGGACUGCAACGUCUACUGAGUAAAGAUUAUGCACUUAAAGACAUUGUUUUUUAUUUUAACCACUGGCAUUUCAUUUCAAGCCAUAAAAAUAAAAAAUCACUAUUAAUAUAGAUGCUAAAAUAUUUAUUCAUGCCUUCCGUAGUAUCUGGGAUCUAAAUAUGUAAACAUUUACAGCACUAUUUUUUUGAGUGAAUAUAAAUACAUGAGGUGCUUUUUAGCAGUAAAUUGUCACAUUAAUUUGGCACUGUAAAACAAUACUAUAUUAUGUUAUUCUGCCUGUCACCUCUUCUUCCAUUAUUCAACACUAAGCAUGUGUCUCAAAUAUUCAAAAGCCUAAAUCACAAGUAUACCUUUAUAGUAUUAGUGAAACAAAGCAAAACAGAUAACAGAAUCAUAUUCUAACAUACUAUUGGAACAUUAUAAUACCCAGAUUCACUUUAGUGUUGGAGGUUUUUUCCUUAUGGACCUUAUGUUCUACAUAUAGGAAUAGGGAGCCCUAGUAGAACAGAUAUGGUCUUCUCAGGAUCAUUGAAUCCCAGAAAUCAUCUUCCACAAGGCUCCCAAUACAGUUUUGUCAUGCAACCAAAUCCCUACCUGUUCCAUAAACCCCUUUUUGUGUGAAAAUACUAGAAUAAGCAACACCACAGAAUAAAGAAAUCUGUCAGGUUGGAAAAGACCACAGUGGAUCAUCUGGUCCAAGCUCCUGCUCAAGCAGGGUCAUCCCAGAGCCCGGAAUACAGGAUUGUGUCCAGGCAAUCCCUGAGUAUCCCCACAAAGGGAGACUCCACAGCCUCUUUGGGCAGCCUGUUCCAGUGUAGUCACAGGCACAGUAAAGUUCUUCCUAAUAUUCACGUGGAGCUUCCUCUUUAUUAGUUUCUUCCUUUUUUCUCUUGUCCUAUUUCUGGGCACCACCAAGAGGAGCCUGAAUCCAUCCUCUUGGCACCCUUCCUUCAGGUACUUACAGACACUGAUAAAGUUGUCUAAGUUUGUCUCUUAAGAUUGAGGCAGGCCCAGUUCCCUCAGCCUUUCCUCAUAAGAGAGAUGCUCCAGUCCCUUCAUCAGCUUUUCAGCCCUCCUUCAGUCCUGCUUCAAGGGCUGCAUGUCCUUUUCAUCCCAAGGAGCCCAGAAGUGGACACAGCUCUCCAGAUGGGACCUCACCAGGGCUGAGCAGGAUCACCUUCCUCAACCUGGAAAUGCUUUUCCUAAAGCACCCCAGGGUGCCAUUGGCCUUCUUGGCCACCAGAACCCACUGCUGUCUCAUGGACAGCUUGAUAUCCUGGAGCUCCAGGACCUUCUCUGCACUGCUUCCCAGCAGGUCAGUCCCCAGCCUGUGCUCGUACCUGAGGUUAUUCCUCCCCAGGGGCAGGGCACUGCAUUUGCCUGUUUUGAACUUCGGACAGUUCCUCUUUGUCCCUCUCUUCAUCCUGUCAAAGUCCUUCUGAAGGGCUGCACAGCCCUCUGGGCUGUCAACCACUCCUCCCAGCUUUGUGUCAAACUUGCUGAGCAGGCACUCUGUGCCUUCAUCCAAGUCAUCAAUAAGUUAAAUAAUGCUCGGCCCAGUAUUGAUCCUUGGGGGAUACCACUAAUGUCUGGCCUCCAAACCAACAUUGUGCCACUGACUACAACCAUCUGGGAUCUGCCAUUCAUCCAGUUCUCGAACCACUUCUCUGUCCAUUCAUGCUGUCUAUUCAUCCAGUACAUACUUCUUGAGUUUGUCUGUGAGGAUCUUGUGACAGUGUUGAAAGCCUUGCUGAAGUCAAGGUAGACAAUAUCCACUGCUCUCCCCUCAUCCAUCCGGGUCGUUGUUUCAUCAUAGAAGGCUAUCAAGUUGGUCAAGCAUGAUUUACUUUUAUUGAAUCCAUGCUGACUAACGCUGAUCACCUUCUUGUCAGCCAUGUGCAUAGAGAUUGCAUCCCGAAUAUGGCCUUCCAUCAGUUUCCAGUGAUUGAGAUGAGGCUGACUGGCCUGUAGUUCCCUGGGUCCUCCUUCUUGCCCUGUUGAAGUCUAAGACAACAUCUGUUUUAUUCCAGUCCUCAAGCACCUCUCCUGAUCACCACAACCUCUCAAAAAUGAUCAUGAGUAGCGUCACUAUGGUGUCUGUCAACUCUCUCAGCACUCAUGGGUACAUCCCAUUAGGGCCUUGUGGAUGUCAAGUUUGCCUGGGUGUUCUUCAACCCAAUCCUCCUUGACCAAGGGAAGUCUCCAUUCAGCAUGCCUUUUCCUUGGUCUUCUGGGUGAGAGAUUCCUGAGGGGUGGUCUUGUCAGUAAAGACCAGUGCAAAGAAGAAUUCCAGCAACUCUGCCUCCUCCAUGUCCUCUGUUACCAGGGUCCUUCCUUCACUUAGCAAUGGGCCCACAUUUUCUUUUUGUUUUCCUUUUGCUAUUGAUAUAUUUGAAGAAUACACAAUGAAAUGGGCUACUGGAGAUCUCUACACCAAUAAUUUAAUUCUGCUCACAAACUUCAGAGUUGGAGGAGCAGUCCUAUUUCUCAGUAACAUUUUAUACCUUCUGCUGUCCACAGUUGUUUGUCUCUGCCCUCACACUUCAACAGAUGUAAUUUUUACAGUGCCUUGUGCUGGACUAAAAACAAAUCCAAUAAAUAUGAAAAUAAUAAAGAUCACUUUUUUAUUACAAUUAUCUACAAUGUAUGGAUAUCAAUUUAAUUUUGAAAUCAAAUUAUCUCACGUAUGAUUAAAUUAUACUUCCAAAUGCUGCUUAUAGGAUCACAGAAUUUAUUUUAUGUUUAAAGCUGCUAGAGGAGCUCUAUUUUUAUUUAGGGUGCUUUUUGCACAGUUGACUUCCUUGUAUUACUUCUGAAGAGAUGAUUGUCAUCUCUUCAUCCUAUGAAAUUGUAACUGCCUUUUAAAACCAUAAUAGAAUCAUGUUAUUUAUUGUUAUCACUCUAUUUCUAAAGAAAAAAGUCUUGCUUUGAGGAAAAUGUAGCUAAACAUAUUAAUUUCUUCAGUCAAUGUAACAAAUAAUUCAAUUUGCAAAAUUAUAUGCUCCAUCAGCCCAAAGGAAAGUUGAUUCUACUUCAGUUCUUCUCUCUGAAGCCUAUUACAAAGAUGACUGAAAUUAUGAGUCUGUUAAAGAUAUGCCAUAGGUUCUCCUCCAGUUUCUACAAAAAACACUGGCAUAUAUGGCUUCUCAUGACACUUUGGAAGUGAUUUAACAUACUUGUUCUUUACAUUUUACUCACCCCAAUAACAGGAGUAAAAGGCAAAUUACAAUAAAUUUAAAUUUCAGUUUCAAGCUGAAAUUUAAUCCACUAUAUUUAAUGCUGCAAUCAUAUCUUUUUAUUCAUUUUGCAAUAUUAUCCUGGCAAAUGAAAAGUUUCAACAGUUGCCAAUCCAAUUCUUUUGAUGUAAGAAGUAAUUUUUAUUGAUUUCUUAUCUGCAGGGCACUGUCAGUGUAGAGCUAAUUUCCUUUAGACUAGUAAAUUGCUGCUAAUAAUCUUAAAUUAAAAGCUUUCAGGAAAUGAGCUAGAGAUUAGUCUAGUGUGCAUAAACCUACAGCAUUGAACAGGGAUGUAUUUGUGAAAUUAAGUAGGCCUCUAGCUGGUAGAAAGAAUCAAUAUCUGGUUAUGUCCCUUCUCCUGGUCUUUAUUUUUUUUCUUCAGGCUAAUGCAGUGCCCUGUGGCUCUGUUGCUCUAAAAGAAACUUUGCAAAGGCAAUGAUAAUUGUUGAUGGUUACUCCUGUUUUGACCAUCACUGCUAAUUGGUAGGAGAGUUUGUGUUAUGCUUCAGCUAAUUCUGUUUUCUCAAAAACAAAGCUAAAAUGUCAGAUAAAUAGAACUUCUGAGAAUUCCCUCGCUAUAAAAGACUGUUAAAACUCACAUAAUUUGUGUUAACAUUUUUAAUUUUUUUUUUCAUUACUAGCAGGUUCUUAAGCCUCACGUAUCCCCAAAAGAAUGAAGUCCAGACAUUUAAUCCCUUUGCAAUCCUUUAAAAUUCUGUGUGGCAGUUCGAGUGGGAAUAUAGAGCUUUAGAGAAUCUGAGGUAUAGAAACUAAUGGCUAUCAAGACCUACUGAAAUAUCUUUUCUAAGCAUGUGGCUGACAUCUCUGAACUUCUGCUUCUGCUCUGUGGGAAUCCUUUACAGGUUCUGUGAGAAAGAGUAUGAUACAAUCUGCUCAGAAUAACUGGAAAAAAAAACUUGGCAUAUUUAUUUAAUUCUCUAAGUAAAGCAAUAGCAAUACUUCAGUUUCCUAAAAUAACUGUUAUUAUAUUUGCACAUUUAAGUAGUCACUUAAAAUGACUACAUGUCACAAAGUACAUGUUUGAUCAAACAUGUCAUAUGAUUGACUGAAUGUUAUCAAAUUUCCACUGUGGUCAUUUGUUUGGAGACACGUGCAAAGCACUUACUGCACAGAAAACUACUAUACUAAUAAAAAUCCCAAAAUUAGUGCUCUCAAGCUAUAUAACUAUGCUCCAGAAAUAGUCAGCACAACAGUAAUAUGGGAAAUGCUAGUAUGAUGAAAUGUCUGCAAGAACAUUCUACAUUUGAUUCUAUUAAUUUACAUUGCUGCUUCACUGGUAUGCUCCCUUAAUAUAAUUAAUUUGAAUAGUGGUGUUGAAUGGCAUUUACAUUUAGACAUGCUCGUAGCAACAAUGGGGAAAAGUACUUUUGAGUGAGCUUAUUGUCAAGAGGCUGAUAUGAUAUUCUAAAGCCACUAUCUGUAUUUUAUUAACUGGGGUUAUCAAAUGAAUCACAAUGAAAUGCUAAGACUUCCGCACCUUUUUGCACUCAAAAUCUGACAGUAUUUUUCAUUUGGAGCUGAGCAUUAAGAACUACAUUCCUGCUGCUUCUGGGAACUUUAUAAAAAGGAUUAAAAAUUUCCCUGUUAUUGGUGUAAUACAGGUGAAUUGCUAUCCUCCAAAAUGACAGAGAAAGAAUGGUGCAAUCAGGGUAUGAAUAUUCUCACAUGUAUAUACAUUUUUAAAAUUAUUACUGUGAUAAAAGAUACUGUUCACACAAAAGAGUUUUUUGUAUUUGUUCUUACUGUAAUUUCAUUUUACACUUUCCAUUUUAUUUGUUUGCAAUGUCUCUUUAUUUCUUCAAAAUAUUGUACUUGUUAUGUCUUCUUCUGUAUUAAAUGUUGCUGCUUUAUUCCAGGUUUGUGCUAAAAUGGAGAUAGCGGUGAUAACGAAAUUCCCGAUAAUAUAUGAACAAAAUACACAAUGCAUAUAACACGAAAUACACUAAUGCAAACACAAAAUAAGAAAUAUUAAUAUGCAAUGUUAUUUAGCAUUAAAAUGGUAUUCACCGUUUGCAUCAAUAAUUCCUUCCGUUGAACUGGAACCACCUGAAUACUUUUUUAGGUCCUCCUGUCCAAGUUCAAUGAAGAAAAUAAGCAGUGAAUUUUCCAAAUAUGUAACUUAGAAGUUUUGUAUUUUCAAUGUAAACCUUUGGGAAUACCGACUUGAGUGUCAGUUGAUGAAUAACUACAUUUACAAUGAAAUUUUGAAAAUCCACAGUAGCAGUUUCAAAAGAGAUGAAUAAGGUACUUCUUGAAAAUAUGAAUGUGAUACGACUAGAAAGAAGUUUUCACAUGCGAAGAUGCAAUAGUCAGUAUUUACCCACAAUAAAUCAAUCUUAUUUUUCAUCUAUUAUGAUUUAUAUUAAUUUUGCAAUUGUUCACCUUUGCACACUAGAUGAUACACAACCUAUGAAGGUAAAUAAUGAUAUAUACACUAUAAAACUAUAAUGUAGCAUAAUAAAGACCAAAACUUGAAUUACUCUAUUCUUAUUUCUGAUGCAAAAUCAGAUGUUAUAUUAGGCAGCACAGAAUUAAAACACAUUAAUGGUCUAAGAGCUCCUCUGUCAGAAAGCUAUUUACUGUCCAUAUUUCAAUUGUGGAAACUAAUAAAUAUGGAAAUAUUUGCCUUCCACAGGGAAUUAAUACUCACCAAAUUUUCAAAGUCCUACAGGCAUUAGGACUGUCCUAGUCACUGAAUUUUGAAGAAGUUGCAAACUCUUCUCAUUUAGAUGUCUGCUUCCAUUAGCAUCCCUCAAAAAACCUAGAGCAUAUUUUCCAUUUUAAUUGCUUAGUUGCUGUCCAUUUGCAUACAGACACAUGGUGUGGGAGAUCAUUUUACAAAAUAGUUACUUGAAUAUAUGGAAAAAAAUCAUACUACUUUGAAACAUUUUAAAGCACACUCAGACAUCUCAAGCUGCCAUUCCCCUGUCUUACACAGUUUUGUUUGCACAUACAGUAUCACUGAUGCACUUUGUUGUAAAAUGCUGACUUAAAUGAUGUUUGAGAUGCUUUUUAAUAGGAGUGUUUUCUUCCAAUUUCCUAUGACCACAACUCCAUAGACUCCCCAACAGCAAUAACUCAUGUGAAUACUGCAGAGGAUCGCCUACAAAUUCUAUAUUUAAAUCCAAUCAUCAGGACUCAGCAGAGUUGAGAUGUGUCCCCUGGGGGAAGGUAAAGAGCUGCAUACCCUCCACUUAGCUACUGCAGAUGCAGGUCUGUCCUUUUCCUUUAGAUUUCUUCACCUAAUGUUUAGAUCUCUAUGUCUGCUGCAGGCUGACCUCUACCACUAAGCCAGCACAGCUCAAGUGAACAGAAUCACAUAUCUGAGACUUAACUGCUCAAUUCAGCUCUUUAUAGUGCCCUCUCUCUACAUUAUAAACUCACCGUGAUUAAAGAAAACAAACUAAAAAAUAAGUUCAAAGCACAACUCAUCUGUGUAUUAAAUGCAGCACAGAAAAUGUUUAUACUUUAAAUUCAACUGAAAAAGGCAUAAUACAAAAAAUAAAUCUCUUGAUUUACAGUCAUUCAUUCCCACAUUAAAGUAUCACCAAAAAAGACAAAGGAAGAAGAUGCUUUUAUAGUGAACUGGACAGAUAAUGUAGUCAUUUUCUCCAAUGGUGAAUUUCAUCAUUUGCUAAAGGGAUAUAAUCAUCAGUUUUUUUCAUAUACUGUAGCUAUUGCACACAUGCAAAUGAAAAGCAUAUUCUUCAUUUAGAUGCUUUUUGUCUCUUCAGAUAAUGACAGCAUUUUGGAACCAACUCUGCAAGAGGGAUAAAAAAUUUAGUGCUAUUUAACCUUGUUACCCAGGAUUGCUCUCUUCAAAAUAGAGUCCCGAUUAGUUUAGUCUGAGGUGAAAUGAAAAAUUACAAUCCAAAUAUGUUUUAUGGAAGUGUAUGUGAAAUAAAUUUGUAUUAUAAUCUGUAUUAACCCAAGGUUUUUAUCUUUCAGACAAUUUCAGGUACCUUAAGUUUUAUGUGUCUACAGAACAGCACUUUCCAGAAGCUUUUCCUUCGGUUUUUCCCAUGCGUUUAUUAUAAGACAGCUAUGGCAAUGUGAUCUUCACAAUUUUAUUACUAACACAUUUGUUACACAAGAGCUAGAACUAAAACAAGCAUUGUCACAAAUAGAUGCACAAUUUCACUGCUAGAUCCAUGGGAUUCAUGAUCUUGUGCAGGAUGCUAUUUCCUCAGAACUGCAUAUCAAAUGGAUCAACAAUAAAAGGGACCUCUGAGAUCAUAUCUGGCUAUAACCAUGUUGGCAUCAAACUUAGCAUGCCUUAUUGGCGUUGCAUGACAUCAUUUUGUAAAAUUAAAUAAAUUUCU